rnacentral:rRNA from 2 species
ACGGGUGAGUAACGCGUGGGAACGUACCAUUUGCUACGGAAUAACUCAGGGAAACUUGUGCUAAUACCGUAUGAGCCCGAAAGGGGAAAGAUUUAUCGGCAAAUGAUCGGCCCGCGUUGGAUUAGCUAGUUGGUGGGGUAAAGGCCUACCAAGGCGACGAUCCAUAGCUGGUCUGAGAGGAUGAUCAGCCACACUGGGACUGAGACACGGCCCAGACUCCUACGGGAGGCAGCAGUGGGGAAUAUUGGACAAUGGGCGCAAGCCUGAUCCAGCCAUGCCGCGUGAGUGAUGAAGGCCCUAGGGUUGUAAAGCUCUUUCACCGGUGAAGAUAAUGACGGUAACCGGAGAAGAAGCCCCGGCUAACUUCGUGCCAGCAGCCGCGGUAAUACGAAGGGGGCUAGCGUUGUUCGGAUUUACUGGGCGUAAAGCGCACGUAGGCGGGCUAAUAAGUCAGGGGUGAAAUCCCGGGGCUCAACCCCGGAACUGCCUUUGAUACUGUUAGUCUUGAGUAUGGUAG